rnacentral:lncRNA from 1 species
AACACUAAGACAUUAAUUAAUCAACUAAGUACCAAUUUUGGGCGUUACGAGGGUGCUAAUUUUUUCUCGUACGUAACCGACUCCCGAACCCAUUUUUCUAAAUUUCGUAGACCAAAACCGUUUUUUUAAUAAAAUUAAAUUAUUUAUUAAAAACAACCACUUUACGAGGUGAUCCGAUCACAUCUCAUCAAAAAGGAUUGGUGGCGACUCCCGUUUUCGUUUUCGUUUUUCAAAACUCAAG